AUUCACAAUGUGUUGGAUUAUUCAAUUUAUUUGAUUUACAUGGCCGUAUCGAGAGGAAAAGAAUAUUUGGACAUGAUUUAUUUGACUUGGACCAGGUUUGUUGUUUAAUCUUUGUAUGCUUAAUAAUUGUUGAUGGGUUUAUCUUCGACGACAUGUUAUUGGCCCUAAACUAUUGAGAAUGAAAAACAUAUCCAAUUUCUUAGUUCUAAUCUAUCAGCAAGCAAAACAAAAUAAAACUGCUCAUCUUGUCUAUGUGAUUAAGAAAAAAAGAUUAGGAUUUACAACGUAAAAUUCAACAUGUUUGAAGUUCCCAGAAUCUUCUAACUAAAUCUUACCCAGACGAUUCUUCUAUUAGCAAUUUUUCUUUCCCUGUUGUUGUUUCUUCAUCGACAUCAACCAUCAUCUCCUCCGAUAGUCUAUCAAGUGAAUUAGCUUCUCCCACAAUUUUUGGGUUCUAACCUUUGCUUAUAUAGGUUGAAGAACAUACUGCAAGAAUAUAUGCCUAAGAUUUUCCAAUUGUUGACAUAUAUUUAGCUUGUCAAUCACUCAUACAAUUAAUAGUCAUAAAGCAUUAAGGGGGAUGUAUUCAACUGAGAGUUUCAGGUGAUUUGUAUUAAAAUGACAAAUCCACUGUUAUUGAAACAUGAAUUUUAAAAACUCAUUUAAAAUCCACUGUUAUUGAAUUUGACAUUUCUUAAAGUACUCUGAAAUCCACUGUUAUUGAAAAUAUUUUAAGUUGUGGAGUUUUAAAGUUUUCAGGUGAUUUUAGGGUGUUUGGGUAUGAUUUCUUAGUUAAAAAAAUUAAAACUCAAAUCUCAUAGUUUUAGGUGAUAUUCUAGAGUAGUUUAACAAAAGUCAAAUAAAUCUCUGCAACUUAUUGAAAUCAUCUAAAACCCCAUUAAAAAUUAAAUCACAUCAAAUGUUAAAUUGAAUACAUCCCCCUAAACAUUAAUCUUAUCCAUACAUUCGUCCUUGACUUUAAAGCAUUGUAAAGGUAUACGCAAUAUUUAGGAAUCACCCUAAUAUCAUUGCCAUAUAUAAAGAUUACCGUUCAGUUGAAUUAUUUCAUAUAGUUAAUACUAUAUAAAUGUUUUUCUAAAAUAAAAGAUGGCAACUUAGACUAUAUUACCGGGAUGAUUACACAGUAUUAAACUAUAUUCAUUCUUACUUUUCUUGUAUACAUCUGUAUCAGAUAGUAAACCAAUUUUUAUUCGGUAUGUUUAACGGUUAACCACAUUAUUCGAAUUACAAUUCGGUUUGUGAUAACCGUUUGUCAAAUUUAUGAAUGUGACAUAUUUUGUUGUUUACUGCAUUUUUGUCUAACUUUAUGAAUAUAAUGUUUCAUUGAUUUUAUGUGUUUGUAUAAAAUGGUUUAAUGGUCUUCUAUGAUCUCAGCAAGUUCUGAUAUCAUUGCAUAAAGUAUGUAAAAAAAAUGUUUACAAUAGUUUCUUAUAUACCCAUGUUUAAUUCUAUCUACGGUUUAGAUUGAUGCUCUUUUUACAAUCUCAUAUGGAUAUGUUGCUUUAACUAAUGUUUAAUAUUUGAUUUUAAUGUAAAUGGGAAAACGGCAAUGGUAGUAGCAUAUUUUGUAAAUAUUGUAGUAAAGAAAGUGGAGUUAGUUAUUUAGGUUGGGAAUCAUUGUGGGAUUGACGCCUAAGCAUGGCAUAUAUGUAAUAUGUAAAUAAAUUACAAACUAAAUGUUACUCUCCCAGAAUGUAAAGAGAUUUUUUUUAUCAAGACCAAAAAUCCAACCAAUUUAAUUUUCGUUGAACAAUGUCAAAUCCAACAAAUGUUUCCAAUAAUAAAAAUUUUAUAAAGCUAUAAAUAGGGAUUGUUCAUAGUAAUCAGAAGCAUCAAAAAAAGACAAACAUAGAAGAUACACAAAACUAAAAAAAAAAAAAGAUGGAGAAGAACUGUAUAUGCAUGUUGAUGAUUAUGUUUAUUGCAUUGACGAUGAUGUCAUUACCAGCAAUGAGUGAAUCGUAUGAAGCUUGUUAUGAUAGGUGCAUUUCCUCGUGCCAAAUAUUUUUUGAAGGAGUUGAAAAAUGCAUUCACGAUUGUGUUGGUAUCAAAUGUCAUAAAACACAUGUACUCCCUCGGAUGGCGGUUAAAGGGAUGUUUCAAGAAAUUCAUACAUAGAGAGAUAUGUUAUUAAACACACAUGAUGUUUAAGUUUACUACUCUUUGAUUUAUAUAAUUUUGAAUAAUAAAAUUCCUUCAUCAUUUUUAGAAUUUAAUUGUUUUCACA